rnacentral:rRNA from 1 species
UACCAGCACCCCGAGUGGUCGGGACGUUUGUUGGGCCUAAAGCAUCCGUAGCCGGUUCUACAAGUCUUCCGUUAAAUCCACCUGCUUAACAGAUGGGCUGCGGAAGAUACUAUAGAGCUAGGAGGCGGGAGAGGCAAGCGGUACUCGAUGGGUAGGGGUAAAAUCCGUUGAUCCAUUGAAGACCACCAGUGGCGAAGGCGGCUUGCCAGAACGCGCUCGACGGUGAGGGAUGAAAGCUGGGGGAGCAAACCGG